CCUUCGUCCGUGCCUGGCACAGCGAGGCAGGGCUGAUUCGGAACACCUCGGGAAAAAGAUCAAGGCUCCACUUUAUAAAAGGUCUCCGGAUUAGAAAAUUUAGUCCAUCCAGUUUUGCGAUAACGGUGGACGGAGAUCUGUGUAGCGUUUUCGAUCUGGGAAAGCUUUCAUUGGCCACUAGCCUCGGAUCGCCGUGAUUGAAGUUUUCAGAACGGACGGGAGAACCGAUAGCUUGAAGCUGCUCUCUCAACUCUAGAACGGUAUCCUCCUCAGCCUUCCAAGCGGGAGGGAGGUUGGACGAAAAUGUAGGCCGGUGAAGGGACAGAUCAUGAUUCCGUGCUGGCGAGAGGGACGAUUUAUGAUGUCUUUGAAGAUACGGGGAGAUUCUGCUUUCAGCCUGAAGCGAAGGACUGCGGGGGAAAAAAACGCAGGAUGUCAUCCUCCCCGGAGAACUUGAUGACGAAGAUGACGAUGUUGAAAAUGGAGGCGCGGUUGGAAUUCCAGGAGGGUUAUCCUCUGUUUUCCCUUCCUCCCCUUCAGUGUACUAAGCGUUCGGGAGAGUCCCAAAGAGUUACCAGCCACGAUCCACGCUCUGCUUGCAAUCGACUGCUUGCAGAGCACUGGAUUGAGCGCUUGGGAGAGUACAGUAGGGUAAGCAGACACCAUCCUUGCACUCAGAGGCUUCCAGUCUACUGUGAAAAGAGCCCCGUACUGAGCGCUUGUGAGAGCACAUUAGCAUUAGUUGGUGCGAUUCCAGACCUUGAAGCAUUUGUAAUCUAGCGGGGGAGAUGAACCCUAAAAUAAUUAGAGUGUAAGCUCCUCGCAGACAGGAAACGUGUCGGUUCUUUAUUCCGUACUUCCCAAAUGCCCAAUACGGUGUCCUGAACCAAGUGGGUGAUCAGUAAAUGAUUACUAAGGAGAAGGAAAUGGAUCCGUAGGCCCAGAGCGGGUGGGCCAGAGAGAAUCCAUCAAUCAGCGGUAUUUAUUGAGCGCUUACAACGUGCAGACCUCUGUAUUAAGCGCUGGGGCUGCGGCAUCGGGCUAGGAAGGGUCCGGCGGGAGCAUGGCAGCGAUCUCCAUCUCCCGAGGUCUGAACGUAGGGCAGAGACAAAGAAAAAUAAAGUUUGCAGGAAAAAGACUGUGGCUUAAGCAAUGUCUGGAUCGUUCUUUAGCACGAAUGGCGUUUUCUCCAGCCUCCAUUUCCUGAGCCAGCAAUUCCGAUGUCUGCUAGGACUAUAAAAAUGAAAUGGGAUAGAGGACGGGUGGAGAGGAAUGAAAAAUCUGACUCUAAAAAGAACUUGGGGGCACGGCGGCAGACCGUCGCUUUAUCGACCCGUGUGGCCGGCGGUAUCUUAGAGACUCUGCGUGGUUCUUGGGACUCCGCCGCUUAGGCUGAAAGGAAGGGAGAGAGGUAGCCCGGAGAGCUGGGAUGUGAAAAGAAAGAUUUCCCUUAGUGCAUAUCGAGGGAUUGAGAAGCAGCGGAGCCUAGUGGAAAGAGUCGAUGAAUCGAUCGGUCCAUCAGUGGCAUCUACUGAGCGGGUUCUGUGUGCAGGGAGCUUACUAAGUACUUGGGGGAGUACGUUACAUGUCCCCUGCCCAUAACGAGUUUGCAGUCUGGAGGGGAGACAGGCAUGAAUAUAAAUAAAUAACCUGUGGAUAUUUUAAUUAACGCUGU